rnacentral:rRNA from 1 species
AGCGGCGAGUGGGUGAGUAACACGUGGGGAAACCUGCCCCUAAGUCUGGGGAUACCAUUUGGAAACAGGUGCUAAUACCGGAUAAUAAAGCAGGAUCGCAUGAUCAGCUUUUGAAAGGCGGCGUAAGCUGUCGCUAAGGGGAUGGGCCCCGCGGGUGCAUUAGCUAGUUGGUAAGGUAACGGCUUACCAAGGCGACGAUGCAUAGCCGAGUUGAGAGACUGAUCGGCCACAUUGGGACUGAGACACGGCCCAAACUCC